rnacentral:rRNA from 1 species
ACGGGAGGCAGCAGUGGGGAAUAUUGCACAAUGGGGGAAACCCUGAUGCAGCGACGCCGCGUGAACGAUGAGGUAUUUCGGUACGUAAAGUUCUAUCAGCAGGGAAGAUAAUGACGGUACCUGACUAAGAAGCACCGGCUAAAUACGUGCCAGCAGCCGCGGUAAUACGUAUGGUGCAAGCGUUAUCCGGAUUUACUGGGUGUAAAGGGUGCGUGGGUGGCAUGGCAAGUCUGAAGUGAAAUGCGGGGGCUCAACCCCUGAACUGCUUUGGAAACUGUCAAGCUUGAGUACAGGAGAGGAAAGCGGAAUUCCUAGUGUAGCGGUGAAAUGCGUAGAUAUUAGGAGGAACACCAGUGGCGAAGGCGGCUUUCUGGACUGUAACUGACACUGAGGCACGAAAGCGUGGGGAGCAAACAGGAUUAGAUACCCUGGUA